AUUUGUUCUUGCGCUCUACAUUUCAGAUCAGUGUCCGGCUCGUCCACUAAAAACCUUUGCAUUCCUUGGAGGUCACCAUGCACUCACGAUUCUAAACUACUAGAGAAAUAUGAUUUCCUUAGGUGUUGUGGCAGAAGUACAUGCAAAUGUACACUUUGGGGAAAUAACUGCAGAUGUGAGUCUAGAAUUGGUGGAUAAUCUCCCCGGACAGACCGAUUCAGUCUGUAACUAGACAUCCUUCAAAAUGUAGAGCUCAAAUUAUUUAAUACUUAUUAUUCAGUAAAAAAAAAUGUUUCAAUCAUAAAUUUGGCUUGUAAGAAGUUUCAGGAAUUAUUUAUAGAAAUAAUUAAUUAAAUUUCAACAAAGUGAAAGAUAAUUUAAAAAUGAAAAAACAAUGACAGAGAUUUCUGAAGUGUUUUUAUUGAAUAGAUGAGACAACCAACCAAAAUUGUUGAAGUUAUGUUUAAACUUUGGUAUUUACACAAUUUGUCAUUAAAUUUAUACAGAAUAAUUUGGAAAUAAAAUGUAGUUAAACAACUGAA
rnacentral:sRNA from 1 species